CAGGGUACCCUUUGACCCUCCCUAGUUCAACCAAAUGAACUAAAGUUUUUGAAUGAAACAACCUUUUGAAAAACUAGCUCAUUUGUUUAAACUAAGCAGGGUCAAUGGGUACCCUG
rfam:Brachypodium distachyon strain Bd21 chromosome 4, whole genome shotgun sequence.